rnacentral:rRNA from 1 species
AAUAUCCCAUAGAUCAGUAAUAUCGCAUGGUAUAACUGGUAAAACUCAGGUGGCAUAAGAUGGGCAUGCGUCUGAUUAGCUAGUUGGUAGGGUAACGGCCUACCAAGGCGACGAUCAGUAGGGGUUCUGAGAGGAUUAACCCCCACACUGGUACUGAGACACGGACCAGACUCCUACGGGAGGCAGCAGUGAGGAAUAUUGGUCAAUGGGCGCAAGCCUGAACCAGCCAUCCCGCGUGAAGGAAGAAGGCCCUACGGGUUGUAAACUUCUUUUCUGUUUGAAGAAUAAGCUUGUCGAGACAAGUGAUGCCGGUAGGACAGGAAUAAGCAUCGGCUAACUCCGUGCCAGCAGCCGCGGUAAUACGGAGGAUGCAAGCGUUAUCCGGAUUUAUUGGGUUUAAAGGGUGCGCAGGUGGUUGAAUAAGUCAGUGGUGAAAGUCUGGCGCUUAACGUUAGGAUUGCCAUUGAUACUGUUUGACUUGAAUAUGGAUGAGGUAGGCGGAAUGUGUAGUGUAGCGGUGAAAUGCUCAGAUGUUACACAGAACACCGAUUGCGAAGGCAGCUUACUAAUCCAUUAUUGACGCUGAGGCACGAAAGCGUG